UACGUAGGGGGCAAGCGUUAUCCGGAUUUACUGGGUGUAAAGGGAGCGUAGACGGCAGGGCAAGUCUGAUGUGAAAGGUCGGGGCCCAACCCCGGGACUGCAUUGGAAACUGUCCGGCUGGAGUACAGGAGAGGUAAGUGGAAUUCCUAGUGUAGCGGUGAAAUGCGUAGAUAUUAGGAGGAACACCAGUGGCGAAGGCGGAUUGCUGGACAGUAACUGACGCUGAGGCGCGAAAGCGUGGGGAGCAAACAGG
rnacentral:rRNA from 1 species